UGAGAAUGGGCGUCUCCAUUUGGGAAAAGGGU
rnacentral:piRNA from 1 species